ensembl:lncRNA
UUUUAAAUCUUCUAAUUGUUCACAGUUUACCCUGCAUGCAUUUCUAUAAUCUAUUUUUACAAUAGCGCAUCACAAUUUAUCUCUAGAAACUAGAAAAUGUAUGUCUGAGUGAAAUAAAGCCCUGAAGAUUUUGCUGUACGUUUGAAUCCCGUCGAAGUCCACUCCGCGUUUUACGUCUCUCCACGUCUGCAGUCGCCGAUUCCCCCAUAAUCCUCAGCGGCGUCAGCGUGUGUUUUGAGUACGGAGGUCAUGAACACAAACGCGUUUUAAGGCGCGAAGAUGCCCCUUCCCUUAAACAGCACGCAGAAUGUCGUUUAGCCCUCAAACAGAGGUCAAUUCUUCAAACACGUGAACGCGUACAGGGAGACGCGCGCACGUACUCCGGGGAACAUGUGCUCGUGCAGGACCAGAUGACAUUUUCACUGGAGAAAGCAAUAUUAUGGAUCAUGGAUUAAGUUAAAAACGUCUUAAUGAUGGAUUUGUUUCUUACAAACACUCAGCUUUUCACUUCACAAGACGUUUAUUGAUGGACUGGAGUGGUGUGGAUUAUUGUGAUGUUUUUAUCAGCUGUUUAGACUCUCAUUUUGACGGCACCCAUUCACUGCAGAGGAUCUAUUGAUUUGCAAGUCAUGUAACAUUUCUCCAAAUCUGAUGAAGAAACAAACUCAUCUACAUCUUGGAUGGCCUUGCAGCAAAUUCUCAGCUAAUUCUCAUUUUAGGGUGAACUAUACCUCAAUCUGAGCUUCUGUAAAAAUUUUGAAAUAUCCUUCAUGCGAACAUAAAUAUCUAAAAGAUUUAUUCAGUAAAUGGAUUGUGAGAAUUGAGUCAUGUUUAUUCUAGAGAGCAUUUGAUGGAACAAAAAUUGGUAUACGCCCUGUGAAAAAGAUGGGUCAUUAUAUUGUUGAUACAUUUACACCAAAUGUACCAAUAUUUGGACUUGAGUGCAUCAACAUAUUGGACAAGCAGGAAUUGAAGGAUUAUGCCAUAAUAUUAGUUUUCACAUUAAUUAUGUGGACCAUUCGAAAUGCAAUCCUUAUGUGAUGAAAUAUGAUUACAU